rnacentral:tRNA from 1 species
UCCCUGGUGGUGUAAAUGAUUAACAUGCUUGGCUGCUAACUAAAAGAUUGGAGAUUCAAGUCCUCCCAGAGGCA